UAGAAGUUCUGAAGAGUCUUGAAACUACCCCCUUCCUUCGAAGUCUUAAAAGACUAAUCGCCAGACGAGGUCAACCUUCUCUUAUCAACUCGGACAACGCAAAGACGUUCCAAGCGGCUGCGUCAUGGUUAAACAAGGUGAUGAAAGAUGAGAAAUUCCACAGUGAACUGAGCAAGUAUGAGAUCAAGUGGAGAUUCAAUUUGUCACGUGCGCUCUGGUGGGCCGGACAAUUUGAACGAUUAGUUGGAAUUUUCAAAUGUGCUUUUUACAAGGUAAAGGACUUUUGACAUUUGAAGAGCUGUCGGAAGUUGUUCUAGAUGUAGAAAUCUGUAUGAAUAACCUGCCACUAAGCUACUUAGAGGAUGACAUUUAAUUCCCUAUUCUUACACCAAAUUCGUUUGUGCUACAACAGUCUAAUGUUGUGCCAGAGCUAGAAUGUUAUCAUAUUGAGGACGGUGAUCUACGAAAGAGGGCAACGUACUUGCAAAGCGUAAAGAACCAUCUAUGGAGACGAUGGCAAAGAGAGUACCUGACGAGUUUACGGCAGCGUCAUCAGACCAACAGCAAGUCAACUACAGUUGGUCCCAAUGAAGGAGAUAUUGUGUUGAUCAAAGCCGACGAGAAGAACAGAAACAAGUGGAAAAUGGGAAAAGUUACGAAGUUAAUUCGUGGGAAAGAUAACGUUGUCAGGGGAGUUAAGCUUCAAUGCGCUAAAUCGACUAUAGAAAGACCUAUUCAACUUAUUUAUCCGAAUUAUCCCUUGGAACUGGAAUGCAACGUGGGGAAAUGCGCGACGAAGUUGAAUACCAAUGCAAAAGAAUUCAAGCCAAGACGACAAGCAGCGGUCAGAGCAGAAGCAAAGAAUAAGGAACUGUUUGAACUGGAUGAGAAUGACGAAUGACAAUUAAACAUUGAGACAUUGAGGUUUUCUGGUAUAACAUGCGACUCCUUCGGUGGCCAAGUGGUUAGCGCACUUGCCUUUCACCUCUGAGGCUGCAGGUUCGAGUCUCACUAAGUACCUUCUCAGUGCGACUCGAACCCAGUCCCCAUGUGAAAAGAGUAAAAGUCAACGCUCUGCCGAAAGUUGUGGGUUUUCCCCGGGUACUCCGGUUUCCUCCCACAGGGAAAGUUGACAGGGUGGGUUAGGUAAAAAGGGCCCACAGUAAUUGGCAUAUGCUGUUGUGGUGACCCUGCCCUAGUUGGCAAAGCUAAAUAAAUAAAUAAAAAAAUAAAAUAAAUAAAUAAACAUGGGGGAGGAUGUUGGAAAUUGACGUUAUUUUGCUUUAGACAUUAGUAUAUUUUGAAGGAUAACAGUGGACAUUUAGAGUUAGUAGGGGAUUGCUGAACACGUGCGAGAAAAUAGGGGGGGAGUGAACAAUGUUGUGACUGUGACUUGGGAUUUAAAACAGCGAGUUGUGAUUAUAGUUCAUUUCUAUUAAAUCGUAAAAUACAUUUUGUGUUCCGUAUUUAUUUGGAGGCACAAUUUCGGAAUAAUAGGCCAAAAAAGGGCUUCGUCAGAAAGUAAUCGUGAGAACGCCCUGGCAAGAUUUCUAGCGUUACGAGGAAAACGAAUAAAGAAACCGAAACAUCUACGAUUCAGGCAUAUAGAUUUUCAUUAAUUGUGCAUUCUUUAUAUUUUUAGCUAUACUUAAAGAACUAACAUUUGAAGUAAAAGGUAGAUGGUCAUAAUUUGGCAACUUAAUCCUCUCCUCUCAAUAUUUCGCCAUGUAUAAAAUACCUAGUAUAUACAGGGUGUAUCAAAAAAAAGGAGACCUUUAGAAGUCAACCAUAUUGUUAAAAUUUGAAUGCCUUUUCAAUUGAAACGUAGUGCGUGAAAUAUUGAUGGGUGCAUAUAUUAGAAAAAGGAGACCUUGAGAAAUUGAAAUAACGUUUAAACAAAAGAUUAUCUGCUCCUGGGAACAAUCUCCCAUGCAUACUGUACGUAGAUCGCAUGUUACGCACUCGUGGGCUUAGCAAAGUGCUCCAGGAUUCAAAUUAUAACAAUGGUUGAUUUCUAAAGGUCUCCUUUUCCUAAUAUAUGCACUCAUCAAUAUUUCACGCACCACGGUUCAGCAUAUGUGCAAUUGAAAAGGCAUUCAAAUUUUAACAAUAUGCUUGAUUUCUAAAGGUCUCCUUUUUUUAUACACCCUGUAGUUUAUACAGUGUACGCCAAACUUGCUGUGGACGUAAUGUUGCUACAGUGCCGUACUGUAGAAAGCUCUUUUUAUUGGGGGCUGAAAACGAGGGCCAAAGGCCGGAGGAAAUUUUUAAAUUUAGAGUCUCUGAAAUGCCAUUUCCUGG
rnacentral:lncRNA from 1 species